GGGGCUGUAGUAUAAGCUGGUUAGUAUUGGGGCCUCCAGAGCCUUAGAUCUGCGUUCAAAUCGCAGCAGCCCCA
rnacentral:tRNA from 1 species